CCUACGGGUGGCAGCAGUGGGGAAUUUUGGACAAUGGGCGAAAGCCUGAUCCAGCCAUUCCGCGUGCAGGACGAAGGCCUUCGGGUUGUAAACUGCUUUUGUACGGAACGAAAAAGUUUCAGCUAAUACCUGGGACCCAUGACGGUACCGUAAGAAUAAGCACCGGCUAACUACGUGCCAGCAGCCGCGGUAAUACGUAGGGUGCGAGCGUUAAUCGGAAUUACUGGGCGUAAAGCGUGCGCAGGCGGUCUUGUAAGACAGAUGUGAAAUCCCCGGGCUCAACCUGGGAACUGCAUUUGUGACUGCAAGGCUAGAGUGCGGCAGAGGGGGAUGGAAUUCCGCGUGUAGCAGUGAAAUGCGUAGAUAUGCGGAGGAACACCGAUGGCGAAGGCAAUCCCCUGGGCCUGCACUGACGCUCAUGCACGAAAGCGUGGGGAGCAAACAGGAUUAGAUACCCCUGUAGUC
rnacentral:rRNA from 1 species